rnacentral:rRNA from 1 species
UACGAAGGGGGCUAGCGUUGUUCGGAAUCACUGGGCGUAAAGGGCGCGUAGGCGGCGCGACAAGUCAGGCGUGAAAGCCCCGGGCUCAACCCGGGAAUUGCGCUUGAUACUGUCGUGCUUGAGGCCGGGAGAGGAUGGCGGAAUUCCCAGUGUAGAGGUGAAAUUCGUAGAUAUUGGGAAGAACACCGGUGGCGAAGGCGGCCAUCUGGACCGGUUCUGACGCUGAGGCGCGAAAGCGUGGGGAGCAAACGGG